GGCUCAGAUUGAACGCUGGCGGCAUGCCUUACACAUGCAAGUCGAACGGCAGCACGGGAGCAAUCCUGGUGGCGAGUGGCGAACGGGUGAGUAAUAUAUCGGAACGUGCCCAGUCGUGGGGGAUAACGUAGAGAAAUUUACGCUAAUACCGCAUACGAUYUAAGGAUGAAAGCGGGGGACUCGCAAGAGCCUCGCGCGAUUGGAGCGGCUGAUAUCAGAUUAGGUUGUUGGUGAGGUAAAAGCUCACCAAGCCGACGAUCUGUAGCUGGUUUGAGAGAACGACCAGCCACACUGGGACUGAGACACGGCCCAGACUCCUACGGGAGGCAGCAGUGGGGAAUUUUGGACAAUGGGCGAAAGCCUGAUCCAGCAAUGCCGCGUGCAGGAAGAAGGCCUUCGGGUUGUAAACUGCUUUUGUACGGAACGAAAAGGUCUGCCCUAAUACGGCGGGCCCAUGACGGU
rnacentral:rRNA from 1 species